rnacentral:rRNA from 1 species
GACGAACGCUGGCGGCGUGCUUAACACAUGCAAGUCGAACGGAAAGGCCCUGCUUUUGUGGGGUGCUCGAGUGGCGAACGGGUGAGUAACACGUGAGUAACCUGCCCUUGACUUUGGGAUAACUUCAGGAAACUGGGGCUAAUACCGGAUAGGAGCUCCUGCUGCAUGGUGGGGGUUGGAAAGUUUCGGCGGUUGGGGAUGGACUCGCGGCUUAUCAGCUUGUUGGUGGGGUAGUGGCUUACCAAGGCUUUGACGGGUAGCCGGCCUGAGAGGGGGACCGGCCACAUGGGGACUGAGAUACGGCCCAGACUCCUACGGGAGGCAGCAGUGGGGAAUAUUGCACAGUGGGCGGAAGCCUGAUGCAGCAACGCCGCGUGCGGGAUGACGGCCUUCGGGUUGUAAACCGCUUUCGCCUGUGACGAAGCGUGAGUGACGGUAAUGGGUAAAGAAGCACCGGCUAACUACGUG